UACGUAGGGUGCAGGCGUUAAUCGGAAUUACUGGGCGUAAAGCGUGCGCAGGCGGUUUCUUAAGUCAGAUGUGAAAGCCCCGGGCUUAACCUGGGAACUGCGUUUGAAACUGGGAGACUUGAGUGUGGCAGAGGGGGGUGGAAUUCCACGUGUAGCAGUGAAAUGCGUAGAUAUGUGGAGGAACACCAACGGCGUAGGCAGCGCCCUAGACGAGACCUGACGCUCAGGCACGAAAGCGCGGGGAGCGAACAGG
rnacentral:rRNA from 1 species